rnacentral:rRNA from 1 species
AGAGUUUGAUCAUGGCUCAGGAUGAACGCUAGCUACAGGCUUAACACAUGCAAGUCGAGGGGCAGCGGGAUUGAAGCUUGCUUCAAUUGCCGGCGACCGGCGCACGGGUGAGUAACGCGUAUCCAACCUUCCGUACACUCAGGGAUAGCCUUUCGAAAGAAAGAUUAAUACCUGAUGGUAUGAUGAAGUUGCAUGAUAGCAUCAUUAAAGAUUUAUCGGUGUACGAUGGGGAUGCGUUCCAUUAGGUAGUAGGCGGGGUAACGGCCACCUAGCCUACGAUGGAUAGGGGUUCUGAGAGGAAGGUCCCCCACAUUGGAACUGAGACCACGGUCCAAACUCCUACGGGAGGCA